GGCUUUGUAGCUCAGUUGGUAAGAGUACUGCACUAGUGUUACAGAGCUCAAGGGUUCAAAUCCCAUUGAAGUCA